rnacentral:tRNA from 5 species
UCUUCAGUAGCUCAAUGGUAGAGCGUAUGGCUGUUAACUAUUUGGUUGUUGGUUCGAAUCCAACCUGGGGAG